rnacentral:rRNA from 1 species
GUAAAGCUACGGUGCUUGAGGAGGGGUCCGCGGCCCAUCAGCUAGUUGGUAGGGUAACGGCCUACCAAGGCGCAGACGGGUAGGGGGUGUGAGAGCAUGACCCCCCACAAUGGGACUGAGAGACGGCCCAUACUCCUACGGGAGGCAGCAGCAGGGAAUAUUGCACAAUGGACGGAAGUCUGAUGCAGCGACGCCGCGUGGAUGACGAAGGCCUUCGGGUUGUAAAAUCCUUUUCGGGGGGAAGAGGCAGGACGGUACCCCCGGAAUAAGCGUCGGCUAACUACGUGCCAGCAGCCGCGGUAAUACGUAGGACGCGAGCGUUAUCCGGAUUUACUGGGCGUAAAGCGUCUGUAGGCGGACUUGUAAGUUGGGCGUGAAAGCUCCGGGCUUAACCCGGAGAGGCCGUUCAAUACUGCGAGACUAGAGGGCGUGAGAGGGGAGCGGAAUUCCCGGUGUAGCGGUAAAAUGCGCAGAUAUCGGGAGGAACACCAGUGGCGUAGGCGGCUCCCUGGUACGCACCUGACGCUGAGAGACGAAAGCUAGGGGAGCGAACAGGAUUAGAUACCCUGGUAGUC